rnacentral:rRNA from 1 species
UUAACUAACAUAGCAAGUCGAACGGGAAGGUGGUGUUUCCGAGUGGCGAACGGGUGAGUAACGCGUAGAACCUAGCCCUUCGGAGGGGGAACGAACAACUGGAAACGGGUUAGCUAAUACCCCGUACGGCGUGAGGAGGCAAAAGGAGGAAAUUACGCCCAACGGAGGGGCGUCGCGUCUGAUUAGCUAGUUGGUGAGGUAAUAGCUUACCAAGGCGAUGAUCAGUAGCUGGUCCGAGAGGAUGAUCAGCCACACUGGGACUGAGACACGGCCCAGACUCCUACGGGAGGCAGUAGUGGGGAAGUUUUCCGCAAUGGGCGAAAGCCUGACGGAGCAAUGCCGCAUGGAGGGUGGAAGGCCUACGGGUCAUCAACUUCCUUUCUCGGAGAAGAAACAAUGACGGUAUCUGAGGAAUAAGCAUUGGCUAACUCUGUG